CUAUUGACCCGAGGCAACCCAACCCUUCAUUAACUCGAACCUUACAUGCAAAGGCUGUGGAUCUCUGCCACUUAGCUCCACUGCAAGUCUCAGUUUUGAGCCAAAUUGAUGAAUUGGAGGCAAAUUUGGAUAAGGAGAGAGCAGCGCUUGUAUCCAAUCCAAUAUCAGGCUGUGUGUCAACCUCUGUAUACAAGUUGAAGGAGCUGCCAAUGAAGCAGCAGCAGACUAAGAAGAAGAUAAUGCUGCUGAAUGUAUGUUGUUAAUAUGAACAUAAUAUCCUAAUUCCCUCUUUAAUUGUUUAAUUGAAUUUGUUACAUUUAAAUGCAGACAAAGACAUGAAGGAAGCGAAUCUCAGACAACAACAAAAAAUAAUAAUAAUUUAAAAAAAAAAUGGAAGCUUUGUGGAAGUUGGAGAGGCAAUAAAACCGGCAGUGGUUGGUAUUGCUGAUGAGAUACGAAAUUUAGCUGCUUGUUUGAAUAGAGCAAUUGAAAUGAGUAAAAAAACAAAUGAGAUUUAAUGCAGAAAUUAAUGAAAAACAAUUUCGAUUUACAGACACAACGGACAAAAAACAAAGGAAACUUGUAAAAGUGAUAGGUAAUUCCCUCAUAAUUACCCUCAUAAUUAAUAGGGAUGAUAUUGAUAAUGCCGCUUAUCUUAUUGGUAAGUCUAAUAGCUUGAUUAAUGUAUUUUACAGGAAUCCUGAUAGGGAUAAAUAUUAUCGGCUCUAUACUCUUUUACGUAGUGAGAGGAGGGAAAAUUAGUCCUGUGUGUGUCUCAAUUCUUCUUAGUAGCAAGACAGAGAAACAUAGUUGUUUAAAUUAUUAAAUAAUAGGAUUGGAUUUAUUUAUUUUUGUUUGGGGACAAAUAAUACAGGAUUGGAAUGAAUAAAAAUUAAAGAAUAUGUGCACUCUGUUAAGGUAUAUUAUUGAUGAAACAAUAUCUCUAUUAUUUUAUUAAUGUCUUGUAGAUUGUCAUAUGAUAGCUAUGAUGCCAUGAGCUAUAAAAAUAUUUUAG